UUGUGUUGUGCGUCACAGAAUCCAAGUGUCAACAGUGAGUGAAGGAUAUAUCCCUUCUCACUGACCCCAUCAUUAGCAAUUUUCAAACACAAGAUCUCUCUCUCCAUCUUCCCCAUCAUCUCUUCUACCUACUUCUUCUCCUUUUGUGCAACUUGGCCUCUGCUCAAUAACACAGAUUCUAUAUCCUUUGUGUUGUGUUGUGUUGCUCACUCUAAAAAAGUAAGAGAGAGAGAGAGAGGGGGGACAACAUCCCACCAUUUGUGGCUGCCCUCUAUUUUAGUCCCUAGCCUCAAUCAAUCAUGCCAUCAGGUGCUAAGAAGAGGAAAGCUGCCAAGAAAAAGAAGGAAAAGGAAACUGAAAUUAACACCAACCCUUCAACAACCAACCCUCAAGGGAAUGAUGAGGUGAAGUCACAGUCUCAGGACGAGAAAGGAAGUGAUGGUGGUGAGGGUGGUUCACCAGCACAUGGUGAACAUGAUCCUGCAUUCAAUGAAGAGGAGGAGGAGAGGGACCCUUCAGCUGCUCAACCAUCUCAUGCUGCUUCUUCUUCUAAGGACUUGGAGGAAGCCCCUGGUGAUGCUAAGAUCGAUGAAACUGAAGGACGAAAAGAAGGUAUUGUUGUGAUACAGUGGGAUAUGAAAUCUGAGGGUUCUGAGAGCAAAGAUGUGAUUGUUGGACAUGUUGAGUCUGCCAAGGAAUCUGAUCAUGGGAACGGGAAUAGGAACUACAGCAGUUCAAGUUCAAGCGAUGAAACCGGAACCUUAAAGAACUCAAAGAAUGAGUCCCAUAAUUCAGUAAAUGAGACAGUUGGAUUUGAUGAGUUGGUUAAAACCAUGGACUCUUUGCAUGCCAAAAUGACGUCGAUUACUCAAAAUGUGCUGGUUGAGGAGACUGGUGAUUCGGUUGUGGAAUCUUCUGCUGAUAUAGCUAAAGUAGUGGCUGCUGUACCUGAGGUACAAACCAUUGAUAAUAAUAAUGCUUUAUUGGAGAAAUCUACAGGAUCUCAAGUAGAGGCAACUUAUCUUGCGGUGGAGAAAAAUGAGGAUAAAGAACAUUCCUCCUCUGAUGAAAAUGUAAGAACAAUAAGUUUGGAGGAACCUAAGCCAAGGGAAUUUGACAGUGAAGUAUCAGCAUCAGUGUCUCAGAGUCCUAUCCCUGAAUCUACUAUUGAUGCAGAACAUGUUAAAGAUUCUGAUACUCCAGAAUGCUCUGAUAAUCAGCCACUUGUAGCAUCAGUUCCACCUGUGGUGCAAAAGACUUCCUGGUUGAGUUGCUGUGGACUGUUUGAUGUUCUGUCAGGUUCCAACAGAUAAGUUCAGCCUGAAUCUUGGUAAUGGUUUCAACUGAGGUGAGGGAGUAUUCUUAUUUGUGGGCCGCAAAAAAAUUUAAUACUAGCACGAUCGAGGAUAUCAUCUGAUGGAUCAAACUUAUAUAAACAUAGGAGUACUUCGUCGAGAAAUUUUUUUGAUAUUUUAAUGUAGAUUUCUUGUUAAGAUUUUCCAAAGAAUAAUGGGCAGAGACCCAACUACAUAAUUCAUGAGGUUUAUCAAAGGUUUGUUGUAGUAUUUGUGUUAGCAACAGUUUCAGCUAAAUAUACCUUAGUCUUUAAAACUGUUCAAAUUACAUCUUUGUUAGUCUACAAUUAUUGUCAUUCUCUUAGUUCUGCUUA